rnacentral:rRNA from 1 species
UACAGAGGUCCCGAGCGUUGUUCGGAUUCAUUGGGCGUAAAGGGUGCGUAGGCGGCGGGGAAAGUCUGAUGUGAAAUCCUGGGGCUCAACCCUGGAACUGCAUUGGAUACUUCCUUGCUAGAGUACUGGAGAGGAAACUGGAAUUUACGGUGUAGCAGUGAAAUGCGUAGAGAUCGUAAGGAAGACCAGUGGCGAAGGCGGGUCUCUGGGCAACAACUGACGCUGAGGAGCGAAAGCGUGGGGAGCGAACAGG